GAAUUCGAUUAACGCGAAGAACCUUACCCAGGCUUGAACAGCGAGUGACCAUUCCCGAAAGGGAACUUCCGCAAGGACACUCGUAGAGGUGCUGCAUGGCUGUCGUCAGCUCGUGUCGUGAGACGUUGGGUUAAGUCCCGCAACGAGCGCAACCCUUGUCUGCUGUUGCCAUCAGGUAAUGCUGGGCACUCUGCAGAGACCGCCGGUGAUAAACCGGAGGAAGGUGGGGAUGACGUCAAGUCAGCAUGGCCUUUAUGUCUGGGGCUACACACGUGCUACAAUGGCCGGUACAAACCGUCGCAAAACCGUAAGGUCGAGCUAAUCGGAGAAAGCCGGUCUCAGUUCGGAUAGCAGGCUGCAACUCGCCUGCUUGAAGUUGGAAUCGCUAGUAAUCGCGGAUCAGCACGCCGCGGUGAAUACGUUCCCGGGCCUUGUCACACCGAAUCACUA
rnacentral:rRNA from 1 species